rnacentral:rRNA from 1 species
UACAGAGGUCUCAAGCGUUGUUCGGAUUCAUUGGGCGUAAAGGGGUGCGUAGGUGGCGCUGUAAGUCGGGUGUGAAAUUUCGGAGCUUAACUCCGAAACUGCAUUCGAUACUGCGGUGCUUGAGGACUGGAGAGGAGACUGGAAUUCAUGGUGUAGCAGUGAAAUGCGUAGAGAUCAUGAGGAAGACCAGUGGCGAAGGCGGGUCUCUGGGCCGUUACUGACGCUGAGGAGCGAAAGCGUGGGGAGCGAACAGG